rnacentral:rRNA from 1 species
GGGGGGGGGGGCAAGCGUUGUUCGGAAUUACUGGGCGUAAAGGGCGCGUAGGCGGUCCCGCAAGUCCUCCGUGAAAUCCCACAGCUCAACUGUGGAACUGCGAGGGAAACUGCAGGACUUGAGUCCGGGAGAGGAGAGUGGAAUUCCCAGUGUAGCGGUGAAAUGCGUAGAUAUUGGGAGGAACACCGGUGGCGAAGGCGGCUCUCUGGACCGGUACUGACGCUGAGGCGCGAAAGCUAGGGGAGCAAACGGGAUUAGAUACCCCGGUAGUCCUAGCCUUAAACGAUGAGCACUUGGUGUGGCGGGUAUCGACCCCUGCCGUGCCGAAGCUAACGCAUUAAGUGCUCCGCCUGGGGAGUACGGUCGCAAAGGCUG